rnacentral:lncRNA from 1 species
UAGUUUUAUAUAAAAUACUUUAUUGUUUUUGAAAACAUUUAAAAAAACAAUUUUGAGCACUUUCCAUUAAAAAAAACAUAACUGAAAUCCUACUGCAAUUUUAAACUACUGUAGUUUCAGCAGUACAACAGACAACAAAACGAGGGGAAGGCGGUAAUCUGUAUUUUUUGCAGAGUAUGUAAAUAUGAAAGGGGAUUUUGUUUUUGUAAUGUGCUGCAGACAACACACAUUAUGCUGUAUCUAUACAGAGACUCGUAUGCAAUGCAUACGAUCUUCCUUUCAUAGUCCAAAGGUCUAAGUAUUGCAGCUUUUUGCAAAAUUAUCGUUUCAUGAUGUACUAUCAUGAUAAAAAAGGGGAUUUCAUUUUAAAAACACCAGAAAAGAAAUAAAAAACAAAAAGAAAAAAACAAACUAAAAAAAACAAAACACAUUUAACAACAACUAAGCUGAAUCGGUAAACAUAAAAAGGGAAAUAACCUGUGAAUAACUAUGCUUGCCUGGUCAACACAGAACAAGAAUUUAUUACAGCAAAAAAGUGGUUACAGGAAUAUAGCGAGACUGUACAAGGUAAAUAACACACAUGCACAUUGUGAUCAUGUAUUAACAUGGUGAAGCAACUAAACGCAAUUUCUUCCUGCUGUAAUAUUCUCAUGUUAGAGAAUAAGAAAUAGAUAUAUCUCACUGAGAUAAAUGCACAUUGCUACAUAAGACAAUUGUAUCUGUCAUUUUUAUGACAUUUCGCUUUUUUUUUUUCCUUAAUAGAAUGAAAUUCAUAACAAUUAUUUUAUUUAUUUAUUUUUACUCUGGGGCGAAAUAAUUGCAUUUAUCCAAAGAGAGGUGCCAUGCCACAGGUUCAAACAGAAAUUUAGUGCAAUAUAUGAACCCGAGAACGUUUGUCUGAUUAACCAUUCCCAUUGCGCAAGGUGCAGGAGGAAAUCUGAAUCUCCUUUUUUCGCUUCCAGGCAGUGUAAAAAGGCAUUAAAUGGAGAGAAUACAUGCCUUCACUGAAAAUUUUUAAAGUGUUUGCUGCAAUACUGUACAUAUGUUGCAUCGGCAACAUGUUUGCCUAUUGACUAGUUCACGAUUAGUAAAGUUAAUUAACCCGUUUACUGCUAGAGAAACCUAGACCACAUUAACGCAGCACACCACUACACACCAAUCUAGCAGUAAAAGGAUUAAUACAUAUACGUAUAUAUAUUCAUAUUUUAUUUAUUUUUUUUUUUAAACAGGAGAAAGCGUGAAUUAUUAACAUGCAAAUGUCAACAGUUUUUUUUUUUCUUCUUCGUUUAACAGGUUGAUGUAACUGGCCUGCUAAAAUUAUAAUUAAAAUAAAUCAAAUUUAACUUUGGGUUUCUUUUUUCCUUCUUUUUAAUACUUUGGUAUGCAAUAGUGCUCCAUCUCAAUGUACAGUAGUAACAAGAGCAGGUAUUUAAAAAAAUUAAAAAUAAAAAAAAAAUACUUUUUUAAAUACCAGCAAACACAUAAAACGGCCAAGUAAACUUACUGUCACAUACAAGUUUACAAAGCUCUGAGUUGGCCUUAGCACCUUUUGGUUAAAAAAAAAUAAAAUAGUUACAAUGUUAAUUGUUGCUUUUGCAUCUUUAAAAAAAAAUUUUAAACGACAAAAGCUGGCGGAGAUAAAACACAAUUAUAUUUAUUAUGCUGUACAACUAGAACUUCCAUUAGACUUUAGGCUGGGCUGGGAUUUUGGGAUAGGUCAGUGUUCAGUUUUCGUAGUCUUCAUCGUGGACAGAAAGUAAGUUUAUGAAGUGCUGUUGAAGAUAGCACAAUGGUUUAGGAAGUUUUCACAUACCCAAGCUUGCACACACAGCUAAAAUUGGUUAACAUGCAUUUGUUUUUCCUUGGUUUUAAACCUUCAGUGACAGCUUCUUAAUUCUGGAUGACAUGUUUGAUUAUAAAAAAAAUCCUUUGUAGUACACUGUCCACGUUGGUAACUAACAGCCACCUCUGCAUACGUUAAGAUAAGAAUGUGACAGAGAGAAACUACACAGGAAAGAGAUCUUCCUACGAGCUACAUCCAUGUCCUAAAAAAACUUCCUUAUCACCCUAAUUAGAAAAGGAGGGUAGUCGCCUCUCUGCAUGCAAGAAUAGUAGGUAAAACGGAUUAAGAAAUCGCAAAGACAAAUUGUAAAGUCCCAUUUCUAGCUCGCUCAAAAAAAAAAAAAAAAUUCAAAAUUCUUUUAAAAAAAUAGUUAAACAAAAACAUGCAACAAAAGACACACUUUCUAAUAUGUACAAAUAUUAGAAAUCUCAGUGCUUAACAUUGGUUGCUGAUCCAAUCAAGGUGGACAGGAUCUUGUAGAGCAUCCACAACAUCAACAGGAUACUCCCAUCAAACCCUACUCACUCUUUUCAAACGUAAUGUAUCCUUACAUUACCGGAUAAUAUUAUUUUUUUAAUGUUUUUGCUCGUGUGGGGAAGAAAAAAAAAAUCCAUCAGAAAAAAAAAAAAAAAUCUUGUAAAAUGCCAC